rnacentral:rRNA from 1 species
GACGAACCGAGCGAACGUUGUUCGGAAUCACUGGGCUUAAAGGGCGCGUAGGCGGGCUGUCAAGUCUGGGGUGAAAUCCCGCGGCUCAACCGUGGAACUGCCUUAGAUACUGACGGCCUCGAGGGAGAUAGGGGCGAGCGGAACUGUGAGUGGAGCGGUGAAAUGCGUUGAUAUUCACAGGAACUCCGGUGGCGAAGGCGGCUCGCUGGAUCUCUUCUGACGCUGAGGCGCGAAAGCUAGGGGAGCCAACGGG